rnacentral:rRNA from 1 species
AAACCAACAGGGAUUGCCUUAGUAGCGGCGAGUGAACCAACAAAAGCUCAGAUUUGAAAGCCUCUUUUGGCAUUGUAUUCUGAAGCCUKGGWCSUGGGACCUGGUGCUUAAGUCUUCUGGAAAGGAGCGCCAUGAGAGGGUGAUAGCCCCGUGAAGCACUAACCCCAUUGUAGGAUCUUGGCAUGGAGUCGAGUUGUUUGGGAAUGCAGCUCAAAUGGGUGGUAUGCUCCAUCUAAAGCUAAAUAUCUGCGAGAGACCGAUAGCGAACAAGUACUGUGAAGGAAAGAUGAAAAGAACUUUGAAAAGAGAGUGAAAUAGUACGUGAAAUUGUUGAAAUGGAAGGAUAGGCCGCUAACCACGCAGAGUCGUGUUUAGGGGGAGGACAAAAGCUGUAUACUUCAUCAUUCUUCGGAGUGAUGUCGUUGCGGUGCAUACUCUCCACCUGUCGCGCGAGGAUCUAAGACUCUGCUAAAUGGUGGUCUAUCAC